rnacentral:rRNA from 1 species
CCUACGGGAGGCAGCAGUGGGGAAUAUUGGACAAUGGGGGGAACCCUGAUCCAGCCAUGCCGCGUGUGUGGAGAAGGCCCUCGGGUUGUAAAGCACUUUCAGUGAGGAAGAACGCCUGGUGGUUAAUACCCAUCAGGAAAGACAUCACUCACAGAAGAAGCACCGGCUAACUCCGUGCCAGCAGCCGCGGUAAUACGGAGGGUGCGAGCGUUAAUCGGAAUUACUGGGCGUAAAGCGCGCGUAGGUGGCUUGAUAAGCCGGUUGUGAAAGCCCCGGGCUCAACCUGGGAACGGCAUCCGGAACUGUCAAGCUAGAGUGCAGGAGAGGAAGGUAGAAUUCCCGGUGUAGCGGUGAAAUGCGUAGAGAUCGGGAGGAAUACCAGUGGCGAAGGCGGCCUUCUGGACUGACACUGACACUGAGGUGCGAAAGCGUGGGUAGCAAACAGGAUUAGAUACCCGAGUAGUC